UACGGAGGGUGCAAACGUUGCUCGGAAUCAUUGGGCGUAAAGCGCACGUAGGCGGCCCGUUAAGUCGGAUGUGAAAGCCCAGGGCUCAACCCUGGAAGUGCAUUCGAUACUGGCAGGCUUGAAUAUGGAAGAGGGUCGCGGAAUUCCCGGUGUAGAGGUGAAAUUCGUAGAUAUCGGGAGGAACACCGGCGGCGAAGGCGGCGACCUGGGUAGAUACUGACGCUGAGGUGCGAAAGCGUGGGGAGCAAACAGG
rnacentral:rRNA from 1 species